UCUGGUCAACUGUGUCAUUGCGUUGUCUUCUACUCCCAUCUCAGACUUCGAGUGACCUUGAGCGCAAAGCAUACAACAGAAGACGUGAAGAAGCUAACCAACGCACUCUUGCAGUGCAUUAGGUUACAGAAUAUCUAUUAAUGGUGAUGUUGCAGCCGAUGCGUAGAAAUCUAAGGCGCUUGUGGCUAGCAUGCUUAAUCGAACAAAGGAGCGCACAAUGAGAAUGCCCAAAUCAAAUUCGAAGCCGGCGUGGGUAAAACUUCUUGCGCAGUGUUCACAGAUUGAUCAAGAUUUUUCACAUGAACUAUCAUUCGGUUUGCCUUUCCCUCUCUCUCAUUUCCCUCAUCGAUUUUCGGUGGUAGGAGUCCAAAAACACCAAAGGCAUUUGUAUGGAUAUUGUUGUGACCAAGUAUGAACAUUGUUCAUCUUUAGCACCACUGCAUUUGAAAUUGUUAUUUCUGCGGGGCAAAAGGCUAAGAGGAAAUUUUCUCAAAAAGACCUGGAUCCCGGGAGCAGGAACAACCUUGUUCCUGAUAUAAGUCAUCUCACAGGAGAAGGAAAGAUUGAGAACAUGUUAUCUGUUGAAAUGGGAUUGAAAGAACUUGCUUUCUUGAAGUUUUAGCUUGCUUCGCAAAACAAAAGGUGGAGGAGGCUAUUGUGCUUGCUUUCGCCCAACUGAGGCAUCCAAUCUCUCUCAGGUUAGUGUGAACUUGAUGCGCAAGUUAUGGUUUCUUGAGUAGUUUUGUCUUUUUACUUGUUGAUGUUGAGUUCUUUUUUCUCUUUUCUCACCGUUGCUAUGUUGAAAUUGAAAGUAAUCAAUUCUUGUAAUCAAAAACCUUUAAGCAUUCAGGGCAUAAAUAAUUUUAGAUUUCUAGAGGUUUCUAUAGAUAGGCUAUUUGACGUGAAACGAGAGUAGUGUUAUUGUUUUAGUGAAAGCUUUUUUAGAUCUUUGAAUUUGUAUUAAUAACAUGGAAGAGUUACAAAAUUUACCCCAUACAUAGACCAUGGGGACGAGGGAUGAUUGGUAUUUCAUUUCAUUUGAAGCUUAGUAGUAAGAAGUUAAAGUGGACCAAUACCCGAAUCUAUUACAAAUAUCUCAGGCCUUUCCUUUUUGUAAGUGUUUUGUAUAAAUUCCUUGUGUAAGGCCUUGAUCGCAUAACCCAACGCGAUGAAGGCCUCGUGACUUGAGGAAGGAUUAUGCGAUGAAAGAUCUCUACAUGGAGAAGGUUACAUGGUUAAACAAACAAACAAGUUGAGGUACUUCAUUGAGAAUCAAUAAUGUAACCCAAAUGUCAGUAGGUCGGCGAUUGGUUUGACCCAGCCGCCCAAUCCGAGUUCAGGAUAAGGUAUUGUCAGAAGCACGUGGAGUUUUGAGAUUGGGCCCCUCUCCUCGUCGGUUAGAGAAAUCAUUCCGACAUGAAAAAAGUCGUUGGAGAGAUCUAUAAAUAAAGGAACUCAGGUCAUUUGAAGCUGCUUUUACCUUGAAUUUGUAAAAGAAGAAACUAACGAAGUAUCCAAAGGAUUUAAGAUGCAGAAUGAGAGCUCAACACAGAUUCCUGAGGAGUAAGGGAGGCUUUGGUCUAGGAAGCUAGUCAACUAUAAAUGUGAGUGUUCUCCUAAAAUGCUUCCAAACUGAAGAAAAGGGUUUUCUAAAAUAUGUUCAAAUUCCUCGUAUAUUCUCUAAAAUCAUGAACCAUAUGAUUUUGAUUAUAUUUCUACACCUUUAAAAUAUAAGUGAUUGUUAAACGAUAAAGUAGUUAUGGAUGAUUUUUUAAUAGAAGCAUCCUCUCUAAGUCUUAUGUUGCAUGAUGUUAUAUGUGUGGAGAUUGAUUUUGACAUUACGUCGUGAAAUGAUGAUGUCUAGAAAAUAUACAAGAGUUGUUAAAAUUGAAAUAAGAUGAUUUUUGUACCCUUGUGAUAAGAUGUUUUAUUUUUGCUAUGUGAUCUGGAAUAGAAUGUUCAAUUCAUGAUGUGUGAUAUUGGAUAGAAUGUCCCAUACUUGCUAUGUGAUCUGGUAUGAGAUGCUUUACGCUUGUUGUGUGAUCUAGUGUGAG